rnacentral:rRNA from 1 species
UACGUAGGGCGCAAGCGUUGUCCGGAAUUAUUGGGCGUAAAGAGCUCGUAGGUGGUUUGUCGCGUCCGCAUGUGAAAACCCGAGGCUCAACCGUCCGGGCCUGCAGUGGGUACGGGCAGACUAGGAGUGCGGUAGGGGAGGACUGGAAUCCUGGUGUAGCGGUGGAAUGCGCAGAUAUCAGGAGGAACACCGAUGGCGAAGGCAGGUCUCUGGGCCGCAACUGACACUGAGGAGCGAAAGCAUGGGGAGCGAACAGGAUAGAC